CGGACGGAGCGCCCCGCGCCAAUCAGGGACGACGAUGGGCGGGGCGAGGGGUGGGGUCCGUGCCCCACGUGCUGGCGGGAAGGAGGGGUGGGGGAGCUCUUUGUUCUCGCGCUGCUCGCCUGAGCGGGCGGUUUUGUGCUCUCUUUGCCCGUCUGUCUAGCUGAGUGGGCAGCGGGGCUGGAGUUUGAGGUGCUCCGGCCGCCGCCUCACAGUGACUGGGGAGAGGAAGGAGGCGAGGGGCCCGACGGGAGCGGGGAGGAGCCUCGCGUCUCAGUGCUGCUGAGUUUGAAUCAGUUCGAAAGUGGGAGCUGUAACGGUUUUAACAGUCGUGCUGCUGCUUCCGCGCGCGGCAGAGAGGGGAGGGGACGGGACGAGACGAGACGGAGAACUGUGGGAGAGGCGCGUCUGCGACCAGGCGGGAAGAGCCAGGCGGGGAUGGGGGGUGGUGCUGGCAGGAGCUGCUUACCUCAGCAGGGUCCGCUCCCUGCCUGUCGUUUCCGCGGUAGGCUCUCCUUCCCGGCCUCGCGCCGUGCCGAGUGUUGCCUGGCUGAGUCACUAACCAGAAGUAGGUGUAUGGGAACUGUUGAAUCACGGCCUGAACCUCUGAUUGACCCCCUGAGGCGUGUGCUGAGUCAGCUGCAGGGGCACAGGUGAAAGCAAUUGGCUCCACCCCUCCUAGACCCCAUUUAAGGGCUGACUCAGAAGGAGGAAGGCUCUCUACCUGGAGAUUACUCCUCUUGGAGCCCUUCUGUGAGCCCAAGACAUGGGAGGGAAAAUAUCUGAUCCCUAAAUAUGCCUGGUGCACAGAUGAAUCCAGCAAGGGCAACGCAAGCAAGUGGAGAGCGAUAGCAUACCAUCCCUCCACCAAGACAAUCUGGUUUGAUGAGGGGGGAUGGUCAGAGCAGCCAAUGGGCAGAACUGUGAGCUGUGUGGAUGAUUAUGACCAAGGAACUCGGUGAUGGUAUCCUGAACAUCUGCACAGAUAGUUGGGCUGUGUACUGGGGACUCACUCUUUGGAUUGCACAGUGGGCCAUCCAGGAAUGGACUAUCAGCACCUUACAAAUCAGGUGCAAAGAUAUGUGGUUAGACAUAUGGAAUAAGUUAAACAAAGAACUGUACGUGUCUACCAUGUUUCUGGUCACCAAUCCCUACAGUCACUGGGAAAUGAUGAAGCUGACACACUGGCCUGAGUUUGAUGGAUUGAGAAUUCACCAUCUGAGAACAUCGCCUGUGGUUACAUCAGAAGCUUUGGCAUGCUGGACAAAAGACAAUAUGGGCAGCUGCUAAAGCAUGGGGGCUGCCCAUACAACUAUUUUACAUUGCCCAGGUAUGCUGAGACUGUGAUGCUUGCUUCAAGAUAAGACUGAGAUCAUUGCCCAGAGCAACAGCCCAUCUUGCUAGAGGAUGCAACCCUCUCCAGAGAUGGCAGGUUGAUUACAUUGGGCCCCUCCCUUGGUCUGAGGGGGUGAGAUAUUCCCUGACCUGCAAAUGGGCUAAUGCAGGCCUAUCCAGUACCAAAAGCAAACCAGGCGUAUACCAUCAAGGCACUUACUAAACUGAUGUCUGCCUACAGGACACCUCAAGUCAUUGAGAGUGACCGAGGGACCCAUUUUACUGGUGCAGUGAUACAAUGCUGGGCAGAAGAAAACACUGAAUGGUGAUUCCACCUGCCAUAUAAUCCAAUGGGGACAGGUCUCAUUGAACAUUAUAAUGGUAUUCUUAAGGCUGCUGUAAAGACAGACUCUCAGUCCCUGCGGAUAAAGAGUUUAUCCUGGUGGAUAAAGAGACUCUAUGAAACCCUGUGGGACUUGAAUGAAAGUCCUAGAGAUGGCAGACCCAGUGCUCAGAAAAUGCUACAGACAUGGGC
ensembl:lncRNA